GACGAACGCUGGCGGCGUGCUUAACACAUGCAAGUCGAACGAUGAAGCCUAGCUUGCUAGGUGGAUUAGUGGCGAACGGGUGAGUAAUACGUGAGUAACCUACCUUUAACUCUGGGAUAAGUCCGGGAAACUGGGUCUAAUACCGGAUACGACCAAUCUCCGCAUGGGGUGUUGGUGGAAAGCGUUAUGUAGUGGUUAUAGAUGGGCUCACGGCCUAUCAGCUUGUUGGUGAGGUAACGGCUCACCAAGGCGACGACGGGUAGCCGGCCUGAGAGGGUGACCGGCCACACUGGGACUGAGACACGGCCCAGACUCCUACGGGAGGCAGCAGUGGGGAAUAUUGCACAAUGGGCGCAAGCCUGAUGCAGCGACGCCGCGUGAGGGAUGACGGCCUUCGGGUUGUAAACCUCUGUUAGCAGGGAAGAAGAGAGAUUGACGGUACCUGCAGAGAAAGCGCCGGCUAACUACGUG
rnacentral:rRNA from 1 species